rnacentral:misc_RNA from 1 species
UUUAAUUACAGCAAACAUGAAACCCAGGAAACACAUCAAACAUGAUCAGAGUUUUCUCAUUCUAAGUUUGAUAUGACCAAGGACAAAAAUUUAGAAACCCAUUAAACAUGAUUGAAGUUUUCUUAUUUUUCACAAACUCAGCGACAUGAAAUUUUAAAAUACCCAACAAGAAAAAUCCUUCUAACAAAUCCUCAAUAUUAAACAAUGGAGAAUGGAAUCAAAGUAUUAUUCCUAAAAUAUUUACCUAUUGAGUGCUGAAUUGAAAACCAAGGAACUUGAGAACGACGGUUGGGCUCAUGCACGAUCGGGAACGGUGACUUGUGAUGGCAACAGCACUAGUGGGGUCGUCAGAUAUGGCAAGAGGCAACAGCUCCUUACUGCCGAG